UACGGAGGAUCCGAGCGUUAUCCGGAUUCACUGGGUUUAAAGGGUGCGUAGGAGGGUAGGUAAGUCAGUGGUGAAAUCUUCGAGCUUAACUCGGAAACUGCCGUUGAUACUAUCUAUCUUGAAUACCGUGGAGGUGAGCGGAAUAUGUCAUGUAGCGGUGAAAUGCUUAGAUAUGACAUAGAACACCAAUUGCGAAGGCAGCUCGCUACACGAAUAUUGACUCUGAGGCACGAAAGCGUGGGGAUCAAAC
rnacentral:rRNA from 1 species